GGAGAUGUAGCUCAGUGGUAGAGAGCUUGCCUCUCAAGCAUGAAGCCCUGGGUUCAAUCCCAUUACUG
rnacentral:tRNA from 1 species